UACGGAGGGUGCAAGCGUUAAUCGGAAUUACUGGGCGUAAAGCGUGCGUAGGCGGUUCGUUAAGUCUGCUGUGAAAGCCCCGGGCUCAACCUGGGAAUGGCAGUGGAUACUGGCGAGCUAGAGUGUGAUAGAGGAUGGUGGAAUUCCCGGUGUAGCGGUGAAAUGCGUAGAGAUCGGGAGGAACAUCAGUGGCGAAGGCGGCCAUCUGGAUCAACACUGACGCUGAGGCACGAAAGCGUGG
rnacentral:rRNA from 1 species